UCAUGCCUGCAAGAGUUCACAGUCCAAUACCACUACCACAACCUCCUCAACCAACUGAGCAACAGUCCACUGAAGUUCAGAAGACUUGACGAUAUGAUCACUGGAACCAUGCUGAAGGUCGUGCUUGUUCUCAGCUGCCUCCUGAGUCUCACUCUGGCUAGACCGAACCACAUGCGAGUUCCCGCUCUGAUUCGUCCUCUUUUUCAGAGUCCAACAAGCGGAAUACGAAAGGAUGCGGCUCCACUAUAACUUCAGCCCAGUGGGCCCAGAUCCUCCUCGCCAUCCUCCAGCAGAAAACUACAGGAUCAAAAUAUAACUGUUUUCUGUGUAGAAUCUGCUGGAUAAAGUUCAUACAUGAAAACGA